rnacentral:rRNA from 1 species
GAUGAACGCUGGCGGCGUGCCUAAUACAUGCAAGUCGAGCGAACAGACGAGGAGCUUGCUCCUCUGACGUUAGCGGCGGACGGGUGAGUAACACGUGGAUAACCUACCUAUAAGACUGGGAUAACUUCGGGAAACCGGAGCUAAUACCGGAUAAUAUAUUGAACCGCAUGGUUCAAUAGUGAAAGACGGUUUUGCUGGCACUGAUAGAUGGAUCCGCGCCGUAUUAGCGAGUUGGUAAGGUAAUGGCUUACCAAGGCGACGAUGGGUAGCCGACCUGAGAGGGUGACCGGCCACAUUGGGACUGAGAUACGGCCCAGACUGCUACGGGAGGCAGCAGUGGGGAAUAUUGCACAAUGGGCGGAAGCCUGAUGCAGCAACGCCGCGUGCGGGAUGACGGCCUUCGAGUUGUAAACCGAUUUCGCCUGUGACGAAGCGUGAGUGACGGUAAUGGGUAAAGAAGCACCGGCUAACUACGUG